rnacentral:rRNA from 1 species
CGGGUAACGGGGAAUCAGGGUUCGAUUCCGGAGAGGGAGCCUGAGAAACGGCUACCACAUCCAAGGAAGGCAGCAGGCGCGCAAAUUACCCACUCCCGGCACGGGGAGGUAGUGACGAAAAAUAACGAUACGGGACUCAUCCGAGGCCCCGUAAUCGGAAUGAGAACAAUUUAAAUCCUUUAACGAGGAUCAAUUGGAGGGCAAGUCUGGUGCCAGCAGCCGCGGUAAUUCCAGCUCCAAUAGCGUAUAUUAAAGUUGUUGCGGUUAAAAAGCUCGUAGUCGAAUCUGUGUCCCGCGCCGCCGGUUCGUCGCUCGCGGCGUUUAACUGGCGUGUCCGCGGGACGUCCUGCCGGUGGGCUUAGCCCUUUCGCGAGGGCGGCCCAAUUAUAAUCCCGCCGCGGUGCUCUUCACCGAGUGUCGAGGCGGGCCGGCACGUUUACUUUGAACAAAUUAGAGUGCUUAAAGCAGGCUAAAACUUCGCCUGAAUACUUCGUGCAUGGAAUAAUGGAAUAGGACCUCGGUUCUAUUUUGUUGGUUUUCGGAACCCCGAGGUAAUGAUUAAUAGGAACGGAUGGGGGCAUUCGUAUUGCGACGUUAGAGGUGAAAUUCUUGGAUCGUCGCAAGACGGACAGAAGCGAAAGCAUUUGCCAAAAACGUUUUCAUUGAUCAAGAACGAAAGUUAGAGGUUCGAAGGCGAUCAGAUACCGCCCUAGUUCUAACCAUAAACGAUGCCAGCUAGCGAUCCGCCGACGUUCCUCCGAUGACUCGGCGGGCAGCUUCCGGGAAACCAAAGCUUUUGGGUUCCGGGGGAAGUAUGGUUGCAAAGCUGAAACUUAAAGGAAUUGACGGAAGGGCACCACCAGGAGUGGAGCCUGCGGCUUAAUUUGACUCAACACGGGAAACCUCACCAGGCCCGGACACCGGAAGGAUUGACAGAUUGAGAGCUCUUUCUUGAUUCGGUGGGUGGUGGUGCAUGGCCGUUCUUAGUUGGUGGAGCGAUUUGUCUGGUUAAUUCCGAUAACGAACGAGACUCUGGCCUGCUAACUAGGCGUAUUUCCGACAUCUCGAAGGCCCGCCGGCAUGGCGAGUUCGCUUGCCAGGUCGUGCGCGGUUUUUACUGUCGGCGUACAAACAAUUCUUCUUAGAGGGACAGGCGGCUUCUAGCCGCACGAGAUAGAGCAAUAACAGGUCUGUGAUGCCCUUAGAUGUUCUGGGCCGCACGCGCGCUACACUGAAGGAAUCAGCGUGUCCUCCCUGGCCGAGCGGCCCGGGUAACCCGCUGAACCUCCUUCGUGCUAGGGAUUGGGGCUUGCAAUUGUUCCCCAUGAACGAGGAAUUCCCAGUAAGCGCGAGUCAUAAGCUCGCGUUGAUUACGUCCCUGCCCUUUGUACACACCGCCCGUCGCUACUACCGAUUGAAUGAUUUAGUGAGGUCUUCGGACCGGCACGCGGUGGCGUUUCGACGUCGCCGAUGAUGCUGGAAAGAUGACCAAACUUGAUCAUUU